rnacentral:rRNA from 1 species
UCUUCCACAAUGGACGAAAGUCUGAUGGAGCAACGCCGCGUGAGUGAAGAAGUAUUUCGGUAUGUAAAGCUCUAUCAGCAGGGAAGAAAAUGACGGUACCUGACUAAGAAGCCCCGGCUAACUACGUGCCAGCAGCCGCGGUAAUACGUAGGGGGCAAGCGUUAUCCGGAUUUACUGGGUGUAAAGGGAGCGUAGACGGCGCGGCAAGUCUGAAGUGAAAGGCAGGGGCUUAACCCCUGAACUGCUUUGGAAACUGCCAUGCUAGAGUGCUGGAGAGGUAAGUGGAAUUCCUAGUGUAGCGGUGAAAUGCGUAGAUAUUAGGAGGAACACCAGUGGCGAAGGCGGCUUACUGGACAGUAACUGACGUUGAGGCUCGAAAGCGUGGGGAGCAAA